GAUUCCUCUUCCUCAGUGGGUUCGUGAUGAAAUCGAUAAAAAUCCAGAUUUAGCAUAUUCAGACAGGUUUGGAAGACAGAAUAUGGAAUAUAUAUCCCUAGGAUGUGAUGUUCUUCCCGUUCUACAUGGACGAUCUCCGAUCCAAGCAUAUACUGAAUUUAUGAGGAGCUUCCGUGACACCUUCAUACCAUUUUUUGAUGGCGUCAUAACUGGUAUCCAAGUUGGAAUGGGC
rnacentral:misc_RNA from 1 species